GGAGACUGCAGCGCGGGGCGCCGCUCCCCGCCCCGCCUGCCCCCCCUCCCCCUCCGCCUGCCUUCUUUGUUCGCCGGCGGGCGGCCGCAGCCGGGAACGGGCCUUAUCCCCUUUCUAAACUUCGGACGGCCGCGUCAGUAGCUCCACUGCCACAGCGACAAAUUUGGAUCAACGUUCAAGGCCGAAUGACAGCUCUCUGCUUCGCUUCUCUGCCUCUUGGGAGCACGUAGCAGAGCCGCCCCGAGCUGGCGUAAGCCUCCGCAUUAAGCCCGAAGCAAGCCUCAGCGCGCGGCCUCGCGGAUCGUCGGGUUGUGCACGAUACUCUUCCAACAAACGGGUGAUGAGAAAGCAGUUCCACUGCUGGAAAGCGACUGGACUGCGUUUCGUUUUGGCUCCAUUCUUCGGAACUAAUCCAGCAUAUUAAAAGCACAAAGCGGUGUGACGCAGUCCCUCAGCAAAAAGUUUCAGACAGAUCAGCAUUCAGCAAUGCUGGUUAUGAAGUUAAAUUCUAAGUGUUAAAUAGAAGCUCUCCCUGUGACCAUAGAUGUUAAUUGAAACAGAUACUCGAAUUCAUGUACAGCUACUAUUCUUGCUCCCUGUAAAAUAUAAAGCUUUUACUUAGCAAAACUUUAAGAUUUAAAUACUAUAUUGCAUUUAAAAGUAAGAGCAGGACCUCUUAAUGACAGCUUAAAGCUAGAAUAUGACUUGUAGCUUAUUACUGAAAAUAAAAACUAAGAGUCGCAGCUUUGCUCUGCUCUUGCAGAACUUUGUAUUGAAGCUUUAGUCGGUGUGAUGUUAAAGCUUCCUUCUACACUGCCUAUGAGAGGAGAUGUACCUAGCAGAUUUUGUAGUGAAAGUCCAAUAGACUCAGCUAGUUUUAAAGGAUUCUUAGAAGCACUCCAGUGUCAAAUUUCUCCAGAACUCUAUGAAGUAAUAAGUAGUAAUGAACUAACACAUGGGAAUUUAAGAGAAAUAUAGCAGCUUAGAAUAGUAUUUUAUUUGCAGGUUGAAUUAGUCAGCCUGAGUAAAAUGCAAGUGAUAAAAUGGAAACCGGACUGAAUACAUAGCAGAAAUGUUAUUUAAACUUUUGUAAUACCUUUCUUGACUUCCUUACAAGAUUGAAGCUAAAAAUGUCCCGUUUCUAAAACAGAACUGAGAAUGAUUUUGCAUAGUUAUAAAGCUUCAACCUAUAAAGAGGCUGUACCCUUGGUUUUGCAUAUAGUUCUAGUGAACAGAACCAUAGCUGCAAGAUCAAAGUCAUCUUGUAGGAAACGAGAGCUAGUUAUCUAGUCAACCAAUAUCAACCUUCAAACCAAGAAAAAAUAGCUUUAAAAAAAUAGCUAAAGUUUAAUGAAUUCAUCCACGUUAUUAAUGUCCAACUUAGUUUUUGUGUACCAGUUUACACUUAGCUGGAGAUAUAAGCAGACUCUAAUAAUGACAAACAUAUCUAGUCUGUUCACAUCCACUUUGUGCCAGUCAUUAUAAAGAAGUGCUAGCAUUAUAAACCAUAGCUCCAUAUAGGACUAAAUAUGGCUGGAAGCCAACAUACCUAAUUCUAGUUGUAGUGUCUUUCUUUUCUGAGCUGUAUAAGCAAUUAUUGCAUUUUAGAUGUUUUCAUGACUAUGAAAACAAGCACUGCAGAAUGCUCCAGGGAAACGUAGCUGACAUAAUUACUGGCAUGAUGGCAACAAGUACAAGGACUACUUUAGAUCAAAGAGAAAUUAUUCUCUUGAAUAACACAGGAACAUCACUUGAAUUUGUUUCUGCCCUUUGUCAUCUUUGUGAAGUGUACAAAAGUAUUAAAGCUUCCAAGAUGGAUAACAUUUUAUUCUCUAAGAACUGCAUUUACGGAUGUCCUGGGAUAUACGUAUGCAUGUUUAUUUUUUUUUGUCAUCUGAAUGCAAGCUUGAAUAUGUAUGUAUUGCAACUCUUAUAUUGAAUUGAUGGUCACACAUGCUUCAGAAAAAGCAACUGACCUUUUAGCAAGGAAGUACUGCUUCACAAAAUUCUGAUACAGAAAUUGUGUGCUAUUAUUUCAUGUAGUAGUUUCAAUCUUCACAAAAACACUGUAGCAUUUCUCCCCCUUUUAACCCAAGUGCUGUGUCUUGCUCAUAUAUUUACAGCUAUAUUGAUACUCAGAAGGUGUAGUAUCUUGAAGUCUCAUAUUUACCCUAGUAUUUUUGGCUUUAAAUUCAUGACCGAGUAAAACAGACAGCUCAUGAUAGGCUAAAUUAGAUAAAAAGAGUCCUUUUUUAGUGUUAAGAAUUAAACUUAGUAAUGCCUCCAUUCUUUCUAAUGCAUUUACUGUUUUCCUUCACUAGAUCAGCAGUCAUGAAGUUCUACACAAGUCAAAUUUUCAUUCAAGUUUACAUUAUUUGUUCUACCUAACAUGGAUAAAAUAACAGUGAAUUGAACAGCCAGUAUUUACAGAGUCCCUUUGGCAUGCUCAAAUAAAGUACUAACAGUAA